GACGAACGCUGGCGGCGUGCCUAAUACAUGCAAGUUGAGCGCUGAAGGUUGGUACUUGUGCCAACUGGAUGAGCAGCGAACGGGUGAGUAACGCGUGGGGAAUCUGCCUUUGAGCGGGGGACAACAUUUGGAAACGAAUGCUAAUACCGCAUAAAACCUUUAAACACAAGUUUUAAGUUUGAAAGAUGCAAUUGCAUCACUCAAAGAUGAUCCCGCGUUGUAUUAGCUAGUUGGUGAGGUAAAGGCUCACCAAGGCGAUGAUACAUAGCCGACCUGAGAGGGUGAUCGGCCACAAUGGGACUGAGAAACGGCCCAAACUCCUAAGGGAGGCAGCAGUAGGGAAACUUCGGCAAUGGACGAAAGUCUGACCGAGCAACGCCGGGGGAGGGAAGGAGGGUGUCGGAUCGUAAAACUCUGUUGGUAGAGAAGAACGUUGGUGAGAGUGGAAAGCUCAUCAAGUGACGGUAACUACCCAGAAAGGGACGGCUAACUACGUG
rnacentral:rRNA from 1 species